AUGAACCGCCGGUUCGUGAAUCUGCUGGUGGAUAAGUUUAACGCGCCCCGACCCGCCUUCAAGCUGCACCGCAUCGACCCCGCGACCUUGUUCUACCCCACCGGAUCACCAAAACCAGCAGAUCCUGUAGCAGGUCCGGCUCUGGGGAGGCUGCCUCCAGCCUCCAUGUCCUUCGACCGGCCCUGCAAGCGGCACCACAUCCACAGAGGGUGGAUCGAUUUCAUGGCCUUCAAGAAAAGCAUCGUUGUCGCUGUGGACCACGAGGGCCGCACCCUCCUCUACGACAGCGCCGUGCGGGCCAUCCGCGCCGUGAACCCGAUGCAGCCCCCUCUCGACUCGCCCCGUGUGUUCGUGGGCAUGGGCGACCGCCUGUACGUCAUGGAGAUCGAGGAUGGCCUGCCGUCCCGGCUUCGGUGGUUCCAUGCCCUCAUCUACGGCCCCCCGCCCGAUUUCCUCGGCCAGUGCGAUUGGUAUUGGCGCCCUUUCGACCUGCCCCGCUUUGAUCACCCCGAUGCUGAUCGCGACUCGGAUAAGCACAAGGAGCCUCCAUCGCCACACCCCUGUGCUAUCUGUGCCUUCACGGUGGUCCGCGGCUCGCAGAUCUGGGCUCCACGGUGGCCGCUGGCACGUACUCAUUUGACACUGUGA
rnacentral:rRNA from 1 species